AUUGAACGCUGGCGGCAGGCCUAACACAUGCAAGUCGAGCGAGCGGCGGACGGGUGAGUAAUGUAUGGGGACUCCCCUAUAGAGGGGGAUAAAUACUGGAAACGGUGGCUAAUACCCCAUACUAUCGGAAAACCCAUAUGGGAUUAUCGAGUAGGUGGGGUAAAGGCUCACCUAGGCGACGAUCUUUAUCUGGUCUGAGAGGAUGAUCAGCCACACUGGAACUUGGACACGGCCCAGACUCCUACGGAGGCAGCAGUGGGGAAUAUUGGACAAUGGGCGAAAGCCUGAUGCAGCCAUGCCGCGUGUAUGAAGAAGGCCUUAGGGUUGUAAAGUACUUUAAGCGGGGAGGCGUUACCAGCAGAAGAAGCACCGGCUAACUCCGUGCCAGCAGCCGCGGUAAUUC
rnacentral:rRNA from 1 species